rnacentral:lncRNA from 1 species
GACGGCGUCACCCACCUUGAAAUACCCCGCCUUGGCGCCCGACCGUAACCGUCCCAACCAACCUCUUCUCCCCGUCGCCGGAGCACCAAGAUUCCAAGAACCCCACCUCUCCUUCCCCGCUCGGUUUCUCCCUCCACCGCGCACCUCUACUCUCCGGCGUAUCCGGCGACCGAUGGAGCAGUUCCAGACGGCCACCACGUGCGGCUGCGGAGCCGCCAGACCGGCACGUACCUGCACGCCGACGACGACGGGCGUCGCGUCUCCCUCAGCCGGCGGCGCGCGUCGAUGAACGAGGCUUGGGCGGUGCACUUGUUCCAGCCCCCUCAGGCGCAGGUGCGGUACCUACUCCUCCACAGCGCCGCCUACGGUCGCUACCUCGCCUCCACGGACGCGCCGGCGCCGCGCACUUGUUCCAGCCCCCUCAGGCGCAGGUGCGGUACCUACUCCUCCACAGCGCCGCCUACGGUCGCUACCUCGCCUCCACGGACGCGCCGGCGCCGCGAGGCCACAGCGGGCUCCGCGUCGAGCAGUGCGACUACGAGCCGUGGGAGGAGGAGGCCAUCAGGUGGCAGGCCGUAGGGGUCGACUCCGGGAACGACGUCCUGCUCCGCAACGUCGCCGGCCGCCUCCGCGCCAACGGGAGGUACCUCAGCGUCGACGACUUCAACAGCACCGGCACGAUGAUGCACUGGGUCGUGGAGCGCAUCCCCGCCAGGAACGACGCGCCUCGUCUUGCAGCUCCGACUGGGGUGAGUCCGCCAUGCCCGCUGCUGCUUCAUACUUCUCGAACUGCUUUCAGCGGAACUAUCGAUUGGGCG